rnacentral:rRNA from 1 species
AUUAAACGCUGGCGGCAGGCUUAACACAUGCAAGUCGAGCGGGGUGAUGGUGCUUGCACUAUCACUUAGCGGCGGACGGGUGAGUAAUGCUUAGGAAUCUGCCUAUUAGUGGGGGACAACAUCUCGAAAGGGAUGCUAAUACCGCAUACGUCCUACGGGAGAAAGCAGGGGAUCACUUGUGACCUUGCGCUAAUAGAUGAGCCUAAGUCGGAUUAGCUAGUUGGUGGGGUAAAGGCCUACCAAGGCGACGAUCUGUAGCGGGUCUGAGAGGAUGAUCCGCCACACUGGGACUGAGACACGGCCCAGACUCCUACGGGAGGCAGCAGUGGGGAAUAUUGGACAAUGGGGGGAACCCUGAUCCAGCCAUGCCGCGUGUGUGAAGAAGGCCUUAUGGUUGUAAAGCACUUUAAGCGAGGAGGAGGCUCUUUUGGUUAAUACCCAAGAUGAGUGGAUGUUACUCGCAGAAUAAGCACCGGCUAACUCUGUGCCAGCAGCCGCCGUAACAC